UUUUCUAUAGCUCAGCUGGUGGAGCAUGAGAUUCUUAAUCUCGGGGUGGUGGGUUCGAGUACCCCCAUUGGGCAAAA